UACCAGCACCCCGAGUGGUCGGGACGUUUAUUGGGCCUAAAGCAUCCGUAGCCGGUUCUACAAGUCUUCCGUUAAAUCCACCUGCUUAACAGAUGGGCUGCGGAAGAUACUAUGGAGCUAGGAGGCGGGAGAGGCAAGCGGUACUCGAUGGGUAGGGGUAAAAUCCGUUGAUCCAUAGAAGACCACCAGUGGCGAAGGCGGCUUGCCAGAACGCGCUCGACGGUGAGGGAUGAAAGCUGGGGGAGCAAACCGG
rnacentral:rRNA from 1 species